UUUUUGUUGAGAUUCUUUCUCUGUGGGUGCAAUAUCAUUAUCUUCAUCAUCUGACAAAUUUAUUACGCUUCUUGAUCUGCAGCAUCAUUAUGUUCAUCAUGUUCUUCUACUUUUUCUUCUUUUCCUUCUUCUCUUUCCAUUUCUUCAUCGCCUUGUUUGGGAUUCUCUUGUUUUUCUGUUUCUUCAACAUUGCAAGUAGAAUGAUGAUCUCUGUAUUCAACCUGUAUAAAUAAUUACAAGUUCCCAAAUACAAGCCAGACACAGUUAUUAGUCAUGUAAAUCACUUUUAAAAAGCUUUUAAAAUCCGUUGUAAAUACUUAUCGAACACUGCCUAUCCUUUAAAACGAAUUUAAAUCUUUAAAACCCCAUUAAGAAGUCUUUAAAAUCCCUUGUAAAUACAUAUCUAACACUGCCUAUCUUUUAAAAACGGCUAAAAAUCUUUAAAAUACGAUUUAUAAGCUUUUUAAAUCCCUUGUAAAAACACAUACCUUUUCUUCUUCCUCUUCUUUUCCUUCUUCCUCUUGCUUUUCUUCUUCCCCUUCCAUUUCUUCAUCGCCUUGUUUGGGGAUUUCUUGUUUUUCUGUCCCUUCAUCGCCUCUGUAUUCAACCUGUAUAUAAAAUUACAAGUUUUAUAACUACAAGUUACUCAUGUAAAUCACUUUUAAAAAGCUUUUAAAAUCCGUUGUAAAAUCUUAUCGAACACUGCCUAUCCUUUAAAAACGAAUUU
rnacentral:sRNA from 1 species